UCCUACGGGAGGCAGCAGUGGGGGAUAUUGCACAAUGGGGGGAACCCUGAUGCAGCGACGCCGCGUGGGUGAAGAAGCGCCUCGGCGCGUAAAGCCCUGUCAGCAGGGAAGAAAAUGACGGUACCUGAAGAAGAAGCCCCGGCUAACUACGUGCCAGCAGCCGCGGCACUACGUAGGGGGCAAGCGUUAUCCGGAUUUACUGGGUGUAAAGGGGGCGCAGACGGCGAUGCAGGCCAGGAGUGAAAGCUCGGGGCCCACCCCCGGGACUGCUCUUGGAACUGCGUGGCUGGAGUGCAGGCGG
rnacentral:rRNA from 1 species